rnacentral:rRNA from 1 species
GAUGAACGCUGGCGGCGUGCCUAAUACAUGCAAGUCGAGCGAACAGAUGAGGAGCUUGCUCCUCUGACGUUAGCGGCGGACGGGUGAGUAACACGUGGAUAACCUACCUAUAAGACUGGGAUAACUUCGGGAAACCGGAGCUAAUACCGGAUAAUAUAUUGAACCGCAUGGUUCAAUAGUGAAAGACGGUUUUGCUGUCACUUAUAGAUGGAUCCGCGCCGCAUUAGCUAGUUGGUAAGGUAACGGCUUACCAAGGCAACGAUGCGUAGCCGACCUGAGAGGGUGAUCGGCCACACUGGAACUGAGACACGGUCCAGACUCCUACUGGAGGCAGCAGUAGGGAAUCUUCCGCAAUGGGCGAAAGCCUGACGGAGCAACGCCGCGUGAGUGAUGAAGGUCUUCGGAUCGUAAAACUCUGUUAUUAGGGAAGAACAAAUGUGUAAGUAACUAUGCACGUCUUGACGGUACCUAAUCAGAAAGCCACGGCUAACUACGUG